AGCGAGAUGGUGUAUAGGUUAGCACAUCAGCCUCAUGAGCUGAAAGGUUAGGUUCAAGUCCUGAUUUCGCUA
rnacentral:tRNA from 1 species